UACGGGAGGCAGCAGUGAGGAAUAUUGGUCAAUGGGCGCAAGCCUGAACCAGCCAUGCCGCGUGCAGGAUGACGGUCCUAUGGAUUGUAAACUGCUUUUGUACAGGAAGAAACACUCCCUCGUGAGGGAGCUUGACGGUACUGUAAGAAUAAGGAUCGGCUAACUCCGUGCCAGCAGCCGCGGUAAUA
rnacentral:rRNA from 1 species